UGAGGAAUAUUGGUCAAUGGGCGCAAGCCUGAACCAGCCAUCCCGCGUGCAGGAAGACGGCGCUAUGCGUUGUAAACUGCUUUUCCAGGGGGAGAAACUUGCGCACGUGUUGCGCAAUUGACGGUACCCUGGGAAUAAGCAUCGGCUAACUCCGUGCCAGCAGCCGCGGUAAUACGGAGGAUGCGAGCGUUAUCCGGAUUCAUUGGGUUUAAAGGGUGCGUAGGCGGACUAUUAAGUCAGUGGUGAAAUCCUGCAGCUUAACUGCAGAACUGCCAUUGAUGCUGAUAGCCUUGAGUUUGGUUAAGGUAGGCGGAAUGUGUAAUGUAGCGGUGAAAAGCUUAGAUAUUACACAGAACACCAAUUGCGUAGGCAGCUUACUGAACCGACACUGACGCUGAGGCACGAAAGCGUGGGGAUCGAACAG
rnacentral:rRNA from 1 species